UACGGAGGGGGCUAGCGUUGUUCGGAAUUACUGGGCGUAAAGCGCACGUAGGCGGCUUUGCAAGUUAGAGGUGAAAGCCCGGGGCUCAACUCCGGAAUUGCCUUUAAAACUGCAUCGCUAGAAUUGUGGAGAGGUAAGUGGAAUUCUGAGUGUAGAGGUGAAAUUCGUAGAUAUUCGGAAGAACACCAGUGGCGAAGGCGACUUACUGGACACAUAUUGACGCUGAGGUGCGAAAGCGUGGGGAGCAAACAGG
rnacentral:rRNA from 1 species